rnacentral:lncRNA from 1 species
CGGGCCGUCACUCGACGCCCACUAGCGGCGGAGGCGGCUCCAGUGCGCAGGCUCCGGGCGCCGGAUAAAAGCGGAGCUGCCGAGUCCGCCGCCGUCGCGAUGGAGGAGCGAGACGCGGAAGAGGCCGGGGGGAGAAGCCGCAGGAAAAAGCGCAGCCACCGUCAGCGCCGCCUCCCGCCACCGUCAGUGGGCGGGGCCCGCGGCGCGGGGGCGGCGAGCGGAGGCCCAGAGAGAGAGAGAAGUGACGCCGGCGGUCGUCGUCCCCGCGGCCGCGGUGAAGCCCAGCGGCUACGGCGACGGCGAAGGCGGUGGCCGGGCUCCGCCCUGACCGUUUGCUGCUGCUCUCCCUGUGCGAGGUGAGGGUCCCGGCUCGGCCCCGGCGGGACCCCGGCGGCCGUGCGGACGCGGCCUGCCCGGGAUUUUUGUAACUGCGUCAGGGCAAGAUGGCGCCGGGGCGCGGGGGGAGAGGCACGUCCGCCGCAGCGCAUGUGACCGCCCGCCGCAUUCCGCGGGGCUUGGCGGGGACCCAGGCGGGGGCGGGGGCGGGGGAGCCUUCCUGGAGAGGAAGAGAGGACGGGAAGCGCUUCCCCUUCCCCACUGCGCGCGGCGGCUGCGGACCGGGGACGGGUGUGCCGGCCGCCGGUGCAGGAGGAGGCUGGAAGCCGCCCGUGUCGCAGCCGCCCCCCCUCCCCCGGCCGAGGCCUUACGUAAGGUGCCAGGUCUCCCCGGGAGCCAGGCAGGCGGCCCCGAGGGUGGCUCCUUUCAGAUCGGGUACUCAAAGCGGGGAAGCUCGAGAGUGGCUCCAGCAACACUGAAGUCUCCCGCAGCAGGCAAGGCCCCAAGGACCGUGUGUGUCAGGGUCUGACCUUUCUUUUCCUCGAGUCCUUGCCCCCCCCCCCUUACCCUCCCUGCCUGUGCACCCCGUGAGAAUGUGUAAUCUUCCCUCCUCCGGGUGAGGGUUGCCUGUUCAGAAUACCAGCUGUGCUGGUCUCUUGUAUCUGUAUGAAACCAAAAGGUCAUUUCUCAAUCAUCGACGUUGCAUUUAUGUCGUCCUUUUUUUAAAAAAAAUAAAAGAUGAAAUUACAAAUGCUUCUGGUAAAUAUUAAUUCGUUAAAGUUCUCGAACCCGCGUCUUUAAAGCACACUUGUAAAAGCAUAUAUAUUUUAGUAGGAUUUAGGAAUAAGGGUGAGAUUGGAUUUUCCUGUUUAAUACCCUAGACUGGGUUGGAACUCUAUGCCUGCCCACUCUCCUUUUUCUAGGAUUACAGGCUCUAGCGACCUGGGUACUUUCCCCCCACAAACAAUAUUUUGUGCUAAGAGAAAAUGAAUGCUUACUGGGCUUAGUGACAACCUUAACCUGCAUCAUGGUUAUGUUACUUCCUUUAUUUUUAGUUGUGGGGUCUUUUUUAUAGUUUGAAAACAAGAUUUGUUUUAUACCAUUGUUUCGUGGAUUUUUUAAGUAACUGAAUAUGAGUAAAAGUAACAGUAUUUUUGUUUGUUUCAAAACAAUCUUAUCAUUUUACAUACCAAUCCCAGGUCUCACUCCCUCCUCUCCUGCUCCCCCCACCCUUCCUCCUACCCCAUACUUUUUCCACUCCCCAGAGAGGUUGAGGCCGCCCAUGGGAAAUCAAGGAAGUCUGUCGAAUCACUUUGAGGACCAAGGCCCUCCCCCCAUAUCUAGGUUGAGCACGGUAUCCCACCAAAGAGAAUUGGCCCCACAAAGCCAGUUCAAGCACUAGGGAUAAAUCCUGGUCCCACUGCCAGCGGCCACACAGACUGCCCAAGCCACACUACUGUCACCCACAUUUAGGGGGCCAAAUUGGACCCUAUGCAGGUUUACCCCUGUGAGUAUGCAGUCGGUGAACUCCCACUAGCUCUGGUCACCUGGAGAAACAGUAUUUUAAAUGUAUGUAAAUAGUUGUAUUACAAAGACCAAAUUCAAAGCCCCCUCCCCCCAGCUUAUUUACUAAAUGGGUAUUUUGUAUAAGAGUUGUGAAAUAACCUUUUUAUUUUUUGUGAAUAAAUCCCAUUGCUCCUUUACAUCACUUUUCUCAGAAAAAAUUUAUUAUGAAGACAGCUCAUAAUUUUCAAUAGGCUCUCAAAUUUUCUGUCUUAAUAAGGAAGAGAAGCCAUUUUCUAGGCUAAUGGAAACAUCGUUUGUGCUUGUUGCUCCUAUUUUUCCGGUCGUUGACUCAGUGAAGUUCAUAAACAAUUUUUCUUAAAAUGGCGUUUCAAACUUUUUUUUUUUUAGAGCUGGACAUGGUUGUACAAGCUUAAGCCCAGCUUUUGGGAGGCAGGGACAGGGAAAUUCUAAGAUUUAGGCCAUCCUUCCCUAUGCAGUAAGCUGGAGGGUCAGCCGAGUCUUCGUGAGACCCUGUCAACACCGUGGGAUUACUUUUCAUCAUAGAAAUUCUCUCAUUUGUGACUAUUCUCUAAUAUUUCUAUUGUAAUUCUAAUUUGAGAGUUUUAGAUUCAUUGUUAAAGCUUCAGGGAUUAGAUUUAUCUGAAUUGAUAGAUUCCUAGCUUGCUUCUUAGUUCUUUUCUAGUAAUAUCAAAAAAAUUACCAAAUUAUUCCCUACCUUCAUUUUAUUUAAAUGAUCGUCUUUUGCUCACUUGUAAUCUUACCUGGGGUCACACAUAAUUUGCCUAUGUGCUAAAAAUACCAUCUCAAAAAAAUAUUAACUACAUUUCUCCUAUUGUCUGAGUAAAACCUUCCUUCCCACUUCCAGAUAAACACAGGUUUAGCCUCCUUUAUGCCUCUUAAAACUUCUCUACUCCCAAUGCUUAGGGCCAUUGUAUAUUGGUGACCAAGCCCACUGAUGGAUAAUUGAUGAGCUUUUGGGUAUACAAGCUCUUUUAGAGAGUGUAAGAUUAAACAGUGUCAUAGUGGACUGUAGACUGUAAAAAUAUUGACUCUCAAACUUUGCCAAAGGCUGUUUUGACCAGAGUUUUGAUAGGAAAAGAGAAUGGGAGGCAAACAGGGCUAGGAGCAGCUAAUGGACCAGACAUAAAAAACAAUGGUUACAUGGAUGGGUUUAUGAUAUCUUGAUGUAUUUGGAGGUUUAUCAAGAUAGAGAAUAUUGUUUUCUCAGAUACUAAACUCAGUUUACAGUGGCUUUGUUUAAAUCUGCUUAAAUUAUGUCAGUGUGACUGCUUCUAGUAGCUAUGGGUUUUAGUGAACAGAAAAUUGACAUUCCAGUAAGAGGGCUUAUUAACAUGAUAAGUGAAGCUGAAAACUCUUUCAGGCAAGUCUGAAUAUUGGUUGUUCAUUGUCUGCUCUUAGAGCUUUGUGAGUAUAUUGCAUGUAUUCAUUUGACAAAUUUACCAAAAUAAACGAGACAUUCAGAGUGAGAAACAUUCCACUUUUAACUUAGAACUGCUCUUUAUUUAAAAUACUCCUAUAUGUUUCACCCAUGCCCCUGACAUUUAGUGUCUCUUGAAAAUACAAAAUGAUAUCAAGUUUCAUACCUGAAAAUGAUUGGAACUGAAAUCAUUUGAUAGACAAAAUGAGAUGUUAUGGUUUGUUGGGGAUGGUGCCAGAUCCCUCUAAUCAGCGUUUAGGACGUGGAAUAAGGAGAGUCAGAAGUUCAAAGUCAGCUUGAACUACAUGAGAUCCUGUCUCAAACAGGUCACAGCUAAAUAUGCACAUGGUCUGUUGAGUUUGUCUUUAAGAAGAUGAAUUUGGUAUUACCUGCCUGUUCCUGGAUAAUAUGUUUUAGUGGCAGCAAUACCCAACUCUACUUGCAGAUUAGGGAUCUGAAGAUUCUAAAUAUUUAAGAGUUGUAGGUAACUUGAAUCCAGUUUUCUCAUUUUUUUUUAAAUGAAAAUGUAACCUUGCAGAGAGGUAGAGGCAGGAGGUUGAAGGGGUUUAAGGACAGCCAGGGCUACACGAGACCCUGUUUCAACAGAAAAUUGAAAAAGUAAAUUUAUUCCUAAAUAACCAAGAACAUUCUGAAAGUUUACUGAAUGCUGCUAGCCAAAAAGUGGAUUCCAUAAAUCUCCGUGCCAUUUAACAUUUAGAUCAUUCUGUUUCUCAGAAUGGAAUUUCAUAUGAAAAUGUGAUGAACCAGUAUUUCACUAUUUCAUUUAAAGGAAGCAAAAUAGGAAAGUAACAAGCACAGAGACCCCAUGGUUCUAUGAAAUUAUUUUUAGGUGAGCUAAUGUUGUAUUAUUCUGACUACAAACCUUACUGCCUCUAUAAAUAUGUGUUAACCAUGUAUGUAGUUAAAAAGAGGGAGGGGGAUUCCUUUAAUAUCCAGUAUAAAUUGUAACCUUUGAAUUCCAAAACAGCAGUUAAUGAGGAAGACCACUUGUUGGAGGUCUUUGUUUACUUGGAGAAGUGAGCAGUACUGACUUUGGGAGCCCAUCCCACAUGGAGGGAUACUCCCUGAGCCUAGACACAAGGGGGUUUGCCUAGGCCCUAUGCCAAAGGACAUGACAGACUCUGAAGACCCCCCUACAGAAGGCCUCACCCUCCCUGGGGAGCAGAAAGGGUAUAGGAUAGGUAGGGGACAGGGGAGGAGGGGAGGGAGAGGAAAUGGAUUGACAUGUAAAACAAUUUUCUUUCUAAUUAAAAUUUUAAAAAAAUUUUUAAAAAGUGAGCAGUACUUCAAAUAAAAUAUAUAAAUGUACCAACUUUGUAUUUGUCCUAUUAGUGUUCAUGGUUGGAUUGCUUCCGAUUUUGUAUUUCUUGACAUUUUCCUUCAUUAUCUCUGUUAUAUAUAACUUAAAUUUUUUUAGGUUUUUUUUCUCCUUUGGUGUAAUUACUGCUACAAAACAUGAUUUUCUUCAUGUAUGUUUAUAUGUUUGUGCACACAGAGGAGCCAUAAUGUCUGCAGAGCAUAAUGGAGGCCAGAGAUCAACAGCAAUUGUCAUUCCUCAGCUGCAUCCACUUUUUUAAUGUUUGAGACAGCUUCUGUUCUCUUAGAACAGUUGGGCUGGGCUGGCUGGCCUCCAAGCCCCAGUGUUCUUCCUGUCUCUCUCCAACACCCCCAUAUACCCUGGUUCUAAGGGUCCAGUUCAGGUCCUUAUAAACAUGGCAAUACUUUAUCAACUAAGCUAUCUCUAGCCCCAAAAUAACUUUUGGUUUUUUGAGACAGGGUUUCUCUCUGUAGCUUUGGAGCCUAUCCUGGCACUCGCUUUGGAAACCAAGCUGGUCUCGAACUCAAAGAGAUUCACCUGCCUCUGCCUCCCGAGUGCUGGGAUUAAAGGCAUGCACCACCAACGCCUGGCCCCAAAAUAACUUUUAUGUAUAAAAGUUUUUAUAUAAUAAACUGAGUUGAAUAUAACCUACAAUAGAUGCUACUUUAUAUAAACUAAUCCAGAUUGUUCAAUGAUUAUAGGGAUUUAGUCAUAGAGAUUGUGAUUUUCAUAGUCCUUGUUCUCAAGAGAUUUUAUUUUUAAAGUUGUCUUUUCCAAGUACAAGUAUUAGUGUCAAAGCUAUUGUCUGGUUUUUCCCUUCUAUUGUUUCUCUAUUCCUGAGGAAAAUGGCCACUGUGACCCUGAUUUCAGCCAACAGAUAACUAGUUCCCAGCUUCACAUCUUAGGCUGAUUUAAAGUUAUGUAAUCAGAACUUCAGACCUUCCUAUCUGAAUGUCAUUUCCUUCCAUUCUUUACUUUGUCAGUUGAAACUUAUAUGGUUUUUGUACCAUUUGCAUUUCCUUGUGGAUGGUUUGCUGUGUUGCUAACAACAGCAGAGCUAAAGAAAUAAUCACUGGUUAAUGAGAGUCUUAAUUUGAAGUAACAAUUUGUAAUGAGACCUUGGGGUUUGUGUUUUAGCCAGGUGAGCCACCGUAGGUCAUUUAUUGAUGUUGAUUAAGUGAGAAAUGUAUAAACAUCUCCAUUUAUAUUUAAAAAAUUUUCUUUAUAGGCAAUUUAUACCUGUCUAUCAUACCUCACUUACACAUAAUGCCAAACGUCAAGCUCCUGCUGUAUUUCUGACAAACUUUACUGUUGUUGAAUCAAGAAAGAACCUAUUCUACAAGAGGACCUGGAUUUAAAUUGAAGUACCCAUAUGGCAACUUACAACCAUCUGUAACUCCAAUCCCAGUGGAUCUGAAGUCCUUCUAACCUUCAGGAACACCAGGCAUACAUGCAGUGCACAUACUUCAGCAAAACUCUCAUACACAUAAAAUAAUAAAGUAAAUGUUGCACAUCAAAUAGUAAAGUCUUAGAGCUUCAACAGUAAUCUCCAGUCUUAGUUGGGUGGUGGUGGCGGUGGCGGUGGCACAGGCACACAUCUUUAUCCCAGCACUCUGGAAACAGGCUGGCUGAUUUCUGAAUUGGAGGCCAGCUUGGUCUACAGAGUGAGUUCUAGGAUAACCAGGGAUGCACAAAGAAACCCUAUCUACAAAGCAAAACAAAAAUUUUUUAGGAUUAACCUGAAGCAAUUUUAAGUUGUUCAGUAUUAGUUAAUUCCUCUCCCUACUUUUGCUUAAUGACACCUUUAUAUUAAAACAUUUCUUUUGAUCAGAUUUUUCUUUUCCUCUGGGCCCCUAGAUUUAACCAGUCUCCUAGAUUGAUUCUGUCCCUCACAACAUGAAUAAAUGAGGAGCCGAGCAAGUAGAUGGCAAAUACUUACAUUUUUAAAUUAUUAGCUCCUUUCAUGUGUACUUAAUCAACUAAAUAAAAGGUGGUUGAAUGUUACCUUUUUUUAAAGGAUUUAUUUAUUACAUAUACAAUGUUCUUCCUGCAUGUAUCCCUGUAGGCCAGAAGAGAGCACCAGAUCUUAUUACAGAUGGUUAUAAGCCACCGUGUGGUUGCUGGGAAUUGAACCCUGGUCCUCUAGCAGCCAGUGCCCUUAACCCCUGACCCAUCUCUCCAAGACCAGUGUUAAUUUUUUGAGUUGACUUUUGAUUCUUUAGUAAUGUUUUCAUAAAAAAUAAAUAUAUUAGCUACUGGGAUUAUAAUGCUAAGUUUUAGACACUAUUUGAAAUUAUGAAUUCCUUUGUCACAUAUAAGUAUGAUUUUUGUGCUCCUGUUGCAAUAAACUUUAAGUAUUUUCUUUUGUUUGGGGUUUGCUUUUGCUUUAUAACCACUAAAUUCCUCCUCCCCUAGGGCACAGUGCUUAGUGUGCUUCAGUACUUGCUGUAGUAUUUGGCCAUUCAUAAGAACUCAGGUAAUUUGAGAUGUCAGAAAGCUUGAUGAUGAAGACCAAGUUCAGUUAAAUACCCAACUAGCAUCUACUAAAUUCCUAUAAUCAUAGAUGUGUACAUGAAACUGAGUUUGACUUCUCUCUAAUGUGUAGAAUAGGAAUAAGAAAACCAUAAUAAGCACAGGGUUGAGUAUUUUUAUGGAUUGUUAGAAGUAGGAGUAGAGCAAUAGUAGAGUAUGUAUCAGAGAUGCAUUAGUAUAAAGAAACGAGGGGAUCGCUGUCUGGGAUCCAGAAUACCAAUAAUCAGAGGGGUUAAAUGGAUAGGUGAUAAUUACAUACAUUAUGUCCCAGCCACUAAAUGCAGUAAUAUGUAGUCAUUUUAUUGAUUGGUGAUAGGACAACUGCCUAUCCUGUAGGUUCAGUUCAUAGCUCCACAAAAAAAUAAAAAUAAAAAAAAGAUUUUAUGUUUGGGGUGGCCACAUGUGUUGGUAACCCCAGCACCUGAGAGAUUGCAGGCAGGAAGGUCAGGAAUUCAAGGCCAACUUGGGCUAUGAAAGACUGUCUAAAAAGAAACUCAAACAGCCCAGUGAGUUUACACUGUAUUAUUAAUAAAGGAUCCACCAUCACAGCAACUAGAAAAAUAAAGAUUUGCUAGCUUUAGUGGAUCUCCAGCAGGGUCUUCUACAGCCUCAUUCCUAGAUAGGUGGUGGUACCACAGUAUUCUCUAGAGUGCUACCAAUAUCCUUCCUUUUUUGUUUUUACCUUUUUUUUUUUAAUAAAAUGGAAGCUAAAAUAGGCUUGGUAAAUUAAGUAACUGACAUUUAUAUAAAAAAUUGCUUUCUCACUGGGCAGAAGCAGGCAGAUCUCUUGAGUUCAAGGCCAGCCUAGUGUACAGAGUGAGUUCCAGGACAGCAAGGCUACAUGGAGGGGGAAAAAAUGGUUUCUCACUGAGAAGAUUUGACCUUUAAAAAUAAGACUACAAGGUUAAAGUUGAAUGCAAUGGAAUGACUAAUUCUCUGAAUACUUUUAUUACUUGACAGGCUACUAAAAAAGUUAAAUCGGACAUAAUAAUCACUGUAAACAUUUUUCUGUAACAUGAUGGACUCUAACUGAGGCAUAAGCAUUUUAUAAAGUAAUUACCAAAGCUGUAUGAGACUUAGAAAUUGGCCAUAAGAAAAUACCCCACAAGCAUCUCCAUGGACAGCCUUCAGCAGUGAUGCAAAUUUUAAAACCAAAGACUGUCAGCCACGCCUGGUAACAAAUGCCAUAUAUCCCAACACUCCAGAGGCCCUAAAAGUCUACAUAAUGAGUUCCAGGUUAGCCAGGACUAACCUGUAAGACCCUGACUCAGGAAAGCUGUGGGGUGGAGGGUGACAAAGGUUUUAUGUUUGAUCAUGGUCCACAAGAAAAUAGAGCAAUGUGUUAUUUUUACUGACUGCUUCAGUUGAGGCUGAGCUUGUGUUUAAGUUGUAAAAGUAGUGCUGGAGAGUUGGCUUAGUGGUCAAAACACACUUGCUCUUUCAGAGGCCUGCCAAGUCCAUCCCCUACAUAAACACAGUUUCAAACAGUUGCUUCCAGCAAGGAGGAAAGGGUGACUAAAAAACCUUCCACAGGCAGACUCUUGGAGUAAUUGAGAGCAGUAGACAAACUUAGUGUGUUUUUAUGUACUCAGAGGAAGCAAAUAUGAUGUGUUCUAAUAGGUGUCACAGAGGGACACUGCCAUUUGUGGAAGUGUCAGUUCUUAUGUUUGGGGAUCAUCUCACUGGAUUUAGCCAGCUAAUUUUGUUGAAAGUGCACAAUCUUACAUUUUUAUUCCAGUCUGCUUAACCCUGAAAAGCCUGCCCACCUUCUGACUUUAGCUUGUUACCUCAUCCUAGGCCCCAAGUCAGUAUUAUCAAAAGUAGUAAGAAUUGAAGUUUUAAAUUAGGUGUAGUGCCACACACCUUUAAGCCUGAUAUACAUGGUGCUCUCCAGGACAGCCAGAGCUACACAGGGAGACCCUGUCUCUAAAACAUGAAUAAAUGCUAGAGAACUUAAAUUCAUUCUGUAGAGUAUAUUGUUUCAGAGCUUUAGUGCCUUCACCAAGCACUUGUGAUACUGAUUUUACUAUGAAAAGACGACAGUCACAGAUAGUCUAGUACAUGGUGUAAACUAAUGAAGAGCAGCAUCUUUGAGCAGUCACUGGCUUUUAGAGACCCUCUUCUCUGUACCUUUGAAUGGAAAAACUGCAUGCUUUAAAGUAAACUCGUAUCUUAAUUCGUAGUAGAGGUCCCGGAGACUGACAGUACUACCACAGGGAAGGGUUUCACCCAGCCAAAUGAAUUCAGUUCAGUUCAGUAUUAACUGAUUGCUUAUGGUCGUUUGUUGGGCCCUUUAAAAGUAUUCAGAACUUUGGUUAUAGCUUUGUGGUAGAGCACUUGCUCCAUAUGCUUCCAGUCGUAUGUUUGAUUUCUAGCUUUGUUUUGUUUGGGGGGAAAGUUAUCACUGUUCCUAGCUGGCCUGGAACUUGCUUUUAGGCUGGCCUUGAAAUCUGCCUUUGAGUGCUGGGUUUAAAUGCAUUCUCCAUCAUGCCUGUCAUGGGUUUAAAAGUCCCGAGGGUGGUAGAGGGUUUAGGAGCUGAGGUGUAGCUCUGGUUCUAUCCCCAGCACCAAAGAAGAGAAGUCAUCCAUAGAGUAAGUAUUUUGUGAACCCAGCCAUAACUGAAAAAAUAGUCCUAAUAAGAAAACAUAGAGGCAGUCACUGCAGUCUUGGCCCUCAGGAAGGAUCGGAAGUUGGAGGCUUAGCUUUUACAGAGUGUGCCUUUGAAUACGAUUGGUUCCACAGUUCCGCAGAAAUGAGCUUAAAUGACCUCGGUGUGGGUUGCUCUGCAAAGAUGGUCUCAGAUAACUCAGGCUCACCACAACACCCAGCACUGCGGGAUUCCCUAACUAGAAGUGCAUCUGUAUUAAUGCUUGUGAAGUGUGGGUGCCUUCUCGGAAUGUUGUAGGUGUGUUAUAUAGUGCACACAUCCUCUUAGAACCUGAACACUCCUGCUUAGAAAUCCUUUGCAGGAUGUUGAGAUUCUAAAAGGAAGCUGACAAAUAUUGAAGUGUAUGUGGAAUGGUGUUCUACGCCCUAUUUGGGUCAAACGUAAUUACGUAAGGCGAGGCCUGAUUAAUGUUAACUCAGACUGGCCCCAAGUCACUUUAUAGUCAAAGAUGACCUUGAACUGAUCUUGCUAUAUCUGCUAUCCCUAGUGCUGAGAUUACAGGUGUGUACCACCGUACGCAGCUAUUCUGUUAAAUGUUAUUUUAGUUUUCACCUGGUGUGACCCCUUCCCUCAACUGACAUAUUAGAAACUAGUCCAGUGAAAGUGGCUGAAGUGAAAAGGUACAGGGAGGGAUUUUUCUUCAAUAAGAAACACUGAAGUUCCAUCCUCUUGAGCCCGGCUUGACUGUGGAGAGGGUCUGGAGCUUAGUUUUUACCUUUUGUGGCAAAUAGCGCAUUUACAGAUACUGGCGUUUCCUAACGGUGAACAAAACCCAAGCUUCUCUGUUGCGGCUGCCAACGCCGCUGUACACCUAAGGAAAAACAUGUCUUGGCAGAACAGGGAGUGGGCCUUUGCCACGGGGCAGGGCGUCUCCCCAGUGGCUCUGUCCUCCCGCUCUCCCGCCCGCCCGGGAGAGCGGCGGCCCCACCUGGGAGUGCACGCACUGCACCGCACCUUGGUCUCGGCCCUUCGUCCUUUCCCCAGCCGGCGACGCUCACCCCUUUCUCUGUUUAGUCCUUGUGCCUCACAGGGAGGCAAUGGCGGGCCACCCUGGCUGGGCCCGGUCCUCGGUGCUUUGCGCUCACAUUUUGAGCUCGCUGCUGCCGCCACCGUAUUCCGGAAAUGGUGGCAGUGGUGAGCCUGUUCGUCGCCCUGUGUGCCCAGG